GCAGUAGGGGAAGGGUUAGGUGCAAGCGCCCCCGCGUGGCGUUUUGUGGGUACAAAGGCCUGAAGAGCAGUCUCAGGCUGCCCCUGACCCAGCCCCAUCGGGAAAAUCCGCGGACCCCAGGGCCGCUGAAUCCGACUGUAAAGACAGGAAAUAGCUUUUAGUGCGAGGGUGCCGCGUGGGUGCUGCGUCCUCUGGGCGGCGUCCUGACGGGCGUCACCGUGUCCACGGCCAAAGCUGUGCGCCCCUGCGCACACGGAUCACUGCAGUGCAGGUUUGCGGGGCGCUGCGGGGGUGCAGGACCUGGGUGAGGCGCUGUGAUCCAGGCCUGUGAGGAAGGAUCCCUUGGAGAGAAGGAACCUCCAGGAAGGGCUCCCCGGAUAGAGCGGGCGGGGUGCACCCCAGCACCCCAGCAGAGGCGGGGCUCUCCAUUCAUCAGUGUCAGGGAAGAGCUCCUGGCUGGCUGCCUGCUCAGCAGGUGGCGUUUGUCCUGAAGGUGAGGUUGAGUCAGAAAAGGUAUUGGGGAGGAGAGUGACGCCACCGACCCGGGUUUACAAAAGACAAGUGGGUAGCAGAGAGGAAGAUGGACUGGAGGAAUCGGGAAGGCUGCAUGGAGGCAGGGAGAGCUGGAGGACCCUGUCAGAAGUUCGCAAAAGCCAUGAUGGGAACAGGGGCCUUCUGACUGCAAGGGGGUUGCCCAGAGAAUUGCUGGAUAACAGAGACCUAAUUGCAGGGGCUGCCAGGAGUGCAGUGGUUUUCUUCAGAGGCACUGUGGGUGAUGAGCAACAAUCCAGGAGGCCCAGGAAGCGCCUGGACAAGAGGUCAGGCCUCUGAUGUUAGGUCUCUGCAAGUACACGGUUGUCCAAGAGGGCACCAACAGUGUAGGCAUCGCGUCCCCAGGCUUCUUCAGGGAUCAUUGCCGUGAGGCCUCCAGUCACCUCUCUCUGCUCCAGGGACCUCCCUGCACUGCGCUGAGGGGCCUGAGCCACUUGUCCUGUCCAGUCCAUUAGGGUCACUCCUGUUCCUCCUGCUCAUCCCUCCCCACUUCAUGUCCAGUGAGCACAAGACAGAGGCUGAACGGGCAGCGUGAAACAUUCCAGGAUAGGCUGGUGGGAAAGGACCUCACUAACUUUGUGAGACCCAAGGAGGAAGCAGGUGGAUGGAAAACACUAAGAGUUCAAUAAAUCAUCCUGCUCCCCAUCACAUACAGAGAGGCAGCAGAGCUGGGUGAUGCAAUGCUUGGAAUCUUGGCUGUGCCUCUUUUGUGGGUAUCACCUGCCCAUUUCCUCAUACAUAAAUGAAAAUAGUAAUGGCCCGUGUCCAACUCUGAGGUUGAUCGUAUAUGAUCCUCACACAGCACUGAAUAUCACUUUGAGAUACAGUGAGAACUGAUUAGAUGAUAGCCAUUACUUUGCUAAACCUCUACUUCCACUGUGUGCAAAGUGAUUCUCUUUUAGCACUGCCACACGGGCAAUGGCUGUUGUUUUUUAUGGCUCCCUCUCCACAACCAGUGAGAUUGGGAAAUGGUUAAGGAAAGGAAGACUCUCCUGUGUGAAGCUUGCUGGCCGAAGCUGUGAGCCCUGACCUUUGCCUGCCCAGCUGGUGAUGCUCACGGAAGAAGGGACUAUUCUAGUGGGGAUGAUGUUCCUGACACGUGGUUUUAGGAAUCUGCUCGGAAGGACGCAGUGCUCUCUGCUGAUGGAGCCUGGCACCACUAGAGGUGUGUGUCUUGCCGGUGAAGCAGCCCUGGGCCAGGUGUCCUCUCUCCUCUCCUUAACUGGUUUCCCCUCUCAACUUCUGAAGGCUCAUUUGGUUGGAGAUGUCCCUAGGUCCCCAGUCUAAAUUUGGUCUAAAUUUUGGUCUCACCCAGCAUUCUCUCUUAUAGGUUUUUGCUCUCUACUAUUAGCCUUUAUUCAAUUUUUAAUGAUGGGUAUUUGUGUGUGUAUUUAUUCAAGGUCGGCUCUCCCAGUAGGUGACAUAGCACUAGAGGGCGGAGAUUAAGUGUGUUUUAUUGACCAAGUCCAAUGACUUAACUUUAACUUUUCAAUCUGUUAAGUGAGAAUGCUAACACUGCCUUUUCCUAACUCACUGAGCUGUGAAAUUAGAAAAAGAAAAUACAUGGGAAAUUUCAUUGUAAAUUAUAAAAUGUGGUGCAAAGAACAGUUAUGCUUAGUGCUGUGCCUGUCUGAACAUGCACCACAGAGUACGUGUGAAAUGUGGGCUUAGACAGGAAUAUUGUUACGCGAGACAGUAGAGGAUGGUGGUUAGAAAAACACCCACAGUGUGAAAGGUCUUAGUGUGUAAAGUCACAGACAGCAGUCCCAACUUCUUAAAAUGUCCCGUUCAUUUCGUGCUGUGAGGCUUGGAGUUCUCAAAUCCAUAAAUAGGAGUUGCAGGCCUAGAGAAGACUAAACAUAUAAUGCAGUGGUAAGGAAGCCAGAGCCCGUGGAUCCUGACCAUCGGAAGGGUUUUCACAAGUAAGCUCCCACGAAGGCAUUCCUUUCCCACUGAGAGGCAGAGACGGCCACUGGAUGUCUGCUCACCAGCAGUGGGACUGCAGAUGGAGGGAAGGCACUUCCAGAGAAAUGGCUGCUGCCACCAGCACUUCACAGGGAGCAAACGGGAGGAAUGUGAAGCUCCUUAAGCCUAGAUAUUGCACAGAUAUAUAUGCAGCAUCUUCUCUGGGACAGAGAGUUGGAGGAGGUGGCUGAAGGCCAUGUUAUCCCAGUUUGCCCCUUUUCCUGAGCCCUAUUGAGAGGCCGUGGAACCUUUAAGAGGCGGGGCCUCGUGUAAGGAAGGGAGGCCAUUGGCUGUGUGCCCUUGAAGAGCACCCUGGGACAGGGCACCUUCCUUUUUUGGUUUGCUGACUGCUUGAAGUGAGCAGUGUUUUCUACAGUGUGCUCCCACCGUGAUGUGCUGCCCUGCCAUAGGCCUAAAAACAUCUGACCAACCAACCAUGGUCUGCAACCUCCAUAAUGUGUUCCAAAAUAACCAUUUCCUCUUUAGAAGGCGAUUGUCUCAGAUAUUUGUUUUGGUAACAGAAAUCUGACUAAUGCAUUAGAACAGGAGACCUAGGCUAUCAUUCCUUUGCCUUUGGUAGAAGAGCUGGGAAACAAGGGACAGUCCAUUUGAUGGUUAUUGUGGGCCAUGCAUUUCUAAGGUUGGGAACUCAAAGGCACAUGGUCCUAUGCCAGGAGGAUAAGAAGGGAAACAGCAGACUGAACCAAAAACAGUCACAUUUUCCUACACUAAGCCACUCUUGGGCUUUUUCUUAUUUUUUUAGGGGGCAGGAUAAUGUGUUGAUACUAUAGCCUCCCUGACUAUUGUCUCUUGGUAUCUGUUGUGUAUGUAAUUGUCCUUAGCUUGCUAGUAGCACGCUGUGUAUGGCUGUCAUUUUUAUGACAUAAUCCCUGGUUCUCCAGGGAUGUUUCCUUCCCGUGUUUGGAGAGGAGCCUAAUUUUUCUAACUCUUCAGCUCAGACCCGAGCGAGGCCUGACUUCUUCUGUCUGUAUGCAGCUGUGUCUGCCUUUGUGUCAAGGAGGUGAGCAGUGAGCCCCAGAGUCAGGUGACAGGAUGUAGUUGGACAGCAGUGAGCCUGUGGGAGGAGAAAUAGGCCCCGCGAUGGUGCAGUAAGGUGAACCUCACACUGGCUUCCCAGGAAGGCAGAGCUCCAUCACAGAGGCAAGUAAAUGAAGGUGACAAAAGCCCAGGUUUAGAAGUGGGAUGAGCAGCUAAGCACGGUGCUGCACACUGAUAACCCCAGAAGGCCACAAAUCUGAGCGCAGCCUGGGAAACAGUGAUUUCCUGAGACUGCAUCUCUAAGGCUGGAAGGGCUGGAGCUUAGUCUAAAGGCCCUGGGUUAAAUCUCUAGUGCUGCAAAAUCAAUACAUAAAUAUAUAAACAAAAAAAAAGGAAAAUGGGAUAAGGUAAAGUCACACAUGACCACUCAGGAGGGGAGGCCUGGUGUCCCGAUGUCUGGAGAUGACAAUGAGGGGGAGAAUGAGGUGGGUUCAUGAACAACAAUACAGGAGUCCAAGCAGCCAAACUGAUAAAUUUGGAGUUUAAUUAACUGAGCUGAGGACCACUUGUACACAGACACCCCCAUUUUAGAGUGCAAACAAGUGGCACUGAAUUGGAAAGUUACAGAGUUUUUAAAAGAGAAUCACGAAAGGCAUCCUGUUGGAAACAAUUUAGCUCGAAUCUUUCAUUAAUUUUUGGUUGACACCUGCCACCUGCUUCUUUUGCUGAGCAGGUUAAUUUUUCUCCUGCAGGUACAGGUCUUGCCAGGCCACCUCUGCCAAGGGUCAAGGGAAAGAAAGCCCAGAGAGGAGCUGGAAGAGGAAAAUCACAGAGAGAGGCAGGGGACAGGGAAGGGAAGGGUAUGAGGUUUCUCCCUUUUGCCCAAGGGCAGCCUCUGCCCUCCAGGACCUGAGCAGUUGACUCAGGAAAGGCUCCAGCUCCAUCCACCCUGCAGUUCUGCAGGAAGGCCCUGGCCUCCUUCCCUGACACACCGCAUGCUCACUGGCAGGUUAUUUCUGGAAGGCUCACAGCAGAGUAAGCAGGGACACAGGACAGCCUGCAAGUCGGCGGCCUGGGAGUGGAGACAGGGGAGCUUUGUGCACCCGAGUCCAGAGCAGCGCCCACUUCUCUUCUGCACAGUGGGCCAGGCUUCAGGCUUCCAGGCGACAUGCGGGGCUUCCUCCUCUACACUCUCCUCUGUGCAGAGCUGGCACAGGCAAUUUCUCAAGAGCCAUGCCGGACAUGGCAUUUUGAUGCCUAAAUAGGGAUUCAAGGUGUGAGGAAACUCAUCAUUUAGCAGCAUCACAGAUCAGAAACCAGGCUGCCGAGAGCCCAGCAGAGGUCUGCACAUUGAGGACGGAGCAGGCGCACCCACCGCUUACCCUGAUGGAGCCCCUGGAGCAGGACUCGCUGGACAGCUGCCCUAUCCAUGGCUGCCCCUUCCUGGAGACCCCAAGGGGUGACAUUUUCACACCACACGCUUUGAUGCUGGGAAGGUCCAUGUCUGAUGUCCUUGACACCUCGCUGGAGGUGGACUUGCAGGAGGAUCCCCCAGCUGAAGCCCUGGACCAAGGAAAGCACACUGUGCCCACCAAGGCAGAGGCCAUGCAUGAGGAGGACUGGGUUGGAGGGCCAGAUCCAGCCCAAGCUGAAGUCCCACCUGCGGAGCCCACACCAGCUCCACCUGCAGCUCCUUCCCCAGCUCUGAUACCACAGGAGGAGCCAGCCCCAGGAAGCCCCUCUGCACCAGGUGCAGGGCAGGGGCUCCUGGUGGCUCCACAGCAGAGCUCAGCUCCUGAGCUCCCCCGGGGGCCUGCUCCUGCCCCACCCCUGCCCUUCCCCUGCAUUACUGUGGCUCAUGUUUUGGUGUAUGCAUUUGCUCUGACUUUCUGGCUGUAUAUAAACAAUAGGAUUCUUUUCAAAUAAAAGGUAAGCUUGUAGUUAAGUUUAAACAAUCGG